GCUGCCCGCAGCCCCAGCCGGCUCAGUGAGCACACGGAGCAGGGGGUGGGAGCCUGCACACCCUGCUUUGACUGAGCUCGGCAGUGGAUGCAGCACAGAAUGGGAGCACAGACCCUGGUGGGCCUGGAACUGCAGCUGGAGUGGUGACACCUCAGCCAGAAAACAGUGGAGAGAAGCUGAAGGUUGAUUUCCCAGCCCCCGAGACUUGAGCUGUGCUUACACCUGAACAGCUUUGAGGCAGUGAGCCAUGGCUUCCAUCUAGGCUGAUGAAGAAAGAUGUUUCUGGCAAGGCUUUCCAUAGUCCCUGGGAUCCUGCUGACCCCUGGCACCAGGCCUGGCUUCUGCAGUCUCUGUCAGCCUGAGUCUCAGAAACCACAGAUCAGAGAGGCUGGAACUGUCCCUGCAGUUGAAAGGCUGUUUGCUA